ACGAACGCUGGCGGCGUGCUUAACACAUGCAAGUCGAACGGAAAGGCCCUGCUUUUGUGGGGUGCUCGAGUGGCGAACGGGUGAGUAACACGUGAGUAACCUGCUCUUGACUUUGGGAUAACUUCAGGAAAGUGGGGCUAAUACCGGAUAGGAGCUCCUGCUGCAUGGUGGGGGUUGGAAAGUUUCGGCGGUGGGGGAUGGACUCGCGGCUUAUCAGCUUGUUGGUGGGGGAGUGGCUUACCAAGGCUUUGACGGGUAGCCGGCCUGAGAGGGUGACCGGCCACAUUGGGACUGAGAUACGGCCCAGACUCCUACGGGAGGCAGCAGUGGGGAAUAUUGCACAAUGGGCGGAAGCCUGAUGCAGCAACGCCGCGUGCGGGAUGACGGCCUUCGGUUUGUAAUCCGCUUUCGCCUGUGACGAAGCGUGAGUGACGGUAAUGGGUAAAGAAGCACCGGCUAACUACGUG
rnacentral:rRNA from 1 species